rnacentral:lncRNA from 1 species
GUUGUUCAAUUUUGACCAUUCAUUUUUUACUUGUUUGAUGAAUUUUAUUAUAAUUUUAAAACAUUAUAAUUUAUUUUCUAGAAGUGUUAAAUACUUUAGAUUAUAUUUAAUGAUACGGAUCAUUAAAUGAAAAGCUCUAUCAUCGAAAAUGACUUAUGAAUACAAAAGCCUUUGUACUUAUAAGAGUAUAAUAGCCCUGCAUAUAUAUUUAUAUAGUAGAGCUACUAUAUUUUCUGACGCAUAAGGAAAUUGGUGCUUUCAAAUUUUUUCCAUUGGAUCAAUCAAUUUGAUCAUUUUUUACAUUUGGAUUAAUAUUAUUACCCUAGAGGGACCACUAUUAUCCUGACUCUAUAGUUCUUGAUCCAAUAGCUAAAAAGUCGGAAACACGAAUUCCUUUAUGCUUUCAAAAGUAUACUAGUUCUACACUAUAUAUAUAUU